AAUUAAAUUUUCUUAAUUUCGCAAUAGAAAUUAAAGUAAGUCUGUUCGACUUUUAAAAAUUUACAUGAUUUGAGUUCAAACCGGUGUAAGCCAGGUUGGUUUCUAUCUUUUUAUAUUAUCUUCUAGUACGAAAGGACAAAAAAUAAUAUUUUAAAUUUAUAUUUGGCAGAUAAUUGCAUUAGAAUUAGAAUCUAAUUAUACUUUUAUCUAUUUACUUAAUUCUAUUUUUCCUAUAAUUAGAAUUUUAAUUAGAGUAGCU
rnacentral:rRNA from 1 species